UUCCACAAAGCUUAUAAUUUCUUCCUAAAUUUCAUCAUAUUUAUUUCCCAUUUAAUAAUUAAUUGAUUUUGUAAUAUGCAAGGAGUCUGGUGUUUUCAGUCAUCUGAGACCUCUUCUUUCCUGCUUCUCUCAGAUGAACAAACAAAGAACUACAAUCAAAAUGCGGGGAAAAAGCCUAGCCUAGACAUUGUUGAUACGCAAACAGCGGAUCCGAGGGGUUGAAGUUGAUGAAGACAAGGCUAUGCUCGUUAUCUUGAUCGAACAAUGUUGCGAGUUCCCCUCUAAGACUUCAAACUUCCCACUUUCACAAUGUUGAGUUCCCCUCUGAGACUUCAAACUUCCCACUUUCACAACUACUUCUUUCGUUUGUUGGAGAAGUCGUUUCGUUAUAGUAUAACUUAUGGAAGAAUGUAUUUUCACACUUUAUUCUUCAUUUAAAUUAUUGAUUGAAAAGGUAAUACAUAUAA